GGCCCAAAUCCUACGGGAGGCUGCAGUAGGAAUCUUCCACAAUGGGCGAAAGCCUGAUGGAGCAACGCCGCGUGUGUGAUGAAGGCUUUCGGGUCGUAAAGCACUGUUGUAUGGGAAGAAAAGUUAAGGUAGGGAAUGACCUUAGCCUGACGGUACCAUACCAGAAAGGGACGGCUAAAUACGUGCCAGCAGCCGCGGUAAUACGUAUGUCCCGAGCGUUAUCCGGAUUUAUUGGGCGUAAAGCGAGCGCAGACGGUUGGUUAAGUCUGAUGUGAAAGCCCGGAGCUCAACUCCGGAAAGGCAUUGGAAACUGGUUAACUUGAGUGCAGUAGAGGUAAGUGGAACUCCAUGUGUAGCGGUGGAAUGCGUAGAUAUAUGGAAGAACACCAGCGGCGAAGGCGGCUUACUGGACUGUAACUGACGUUGAGGCUCGAAAGUGUGGGUAGCAAACAGGAUUAGAUACCCUGGUAGUCCACACCGUAAACGAUGAACACUAGGUGUUAGGAGGUUUCCGCCUCUUAGUGCCGAAGCUAACGCAUUAAGUGUUCCGCCUGGGGAGUACGACCGCAAGGUUGAAACUCAAAGGAAUUGACGGGGACCCGCACAAGCGGUGGAGCAUGUGGUUUAAUUCGAAGCAACGCGAAGAACCUUACCAGGUCUUGACAUCCUUUGAAGCUUUUAGAAAUAGAAGUGUUCUCUUCGGAGACAAAGUGACAGGUGGUGCAUGGUCGUCGUCAGCUCGUGUCGUGAGAUGUUGGGUUAAGUCCCGCAACGAGCGCAACCCUUAUUGUUAGUUGCCAGCAUUCAGAUGGGCACUCUAGCGAGACUGCCGGUGACAAACCGGAGGAAGGCGGGGACGACGUCAGAUCAUCAUGCCCCUUAUGACCUGGGCUACACACGUGCUACAAUGGCGUAUACAACGAGUUGCCAACCUGCGAAGGUGAGCUAAUCUCUUAAAGUACGUCUCAGUUCGGACUGCAGUCUGCAACUCGACUGCACGAAGUCGGAAUCGCUAGUAAUCGCGGAUCAGCACGCCGCGGUGAAUACGUUCCCGGGUCUUGUACACACCGCCCGUCACACCAUGGAAGUUUGUAAUGCCCAAAGCCGGUGGCCUAACCGUAAGGAGGGAACCGUCUAAGGCAGA
rnacentral:rRNA from 1 species